rnacentral:rRNA from 1 species
CAGCACCUCAAGUGGUCAGGAUGAUUAUUGGGCCUAAAGCAUCCGUAGCCGGCUCUGUAAGUUUUCGGUUAAAUCUGUACGCUCAACGUACAGGCUGCCGGGAAUACUGCAGAGCUAGGGAGUGGGAGAGGUAGACGGUACUCGGUAGGAAGGGGUAAGAUCCUUUGAUCUAUUGAUGACCACCUGUGGCGAAGGCGGUCUACCAGAACACGUCCGACGGUGAGGGAUGAAAGCUGGGGGAGCAAACCGGAUUAGAGACCCGAGUAGUCC